rnacentral:rRNA from 1 species
AUUGAACGCUGGCGGUAUGCUUAAGACAUGCAAGUCGAACGGUAACAGGUUAAGCUGACGAGCGGCGGACGGGUGAGUAACGCGUGGGAAUCUGCCUGCUAGUGGGGGAUAGCCCGGAGAAAUCCGGAUUAAUACCGCAUACGCCCUAAGGGGGAAAGCCGCAAGGCGCUAGUAGAUGAGCUCGCGUAAGAUUAGCUAGUUGGUGAGGUAAAGGCUCACCAAGGCGACGAUCUUUAGCUGGUCUGAGAGGAUGGCCAGCCACAUCGGGACUGAGACACGGCCCGGACUCCUACGGGAGGCAGCAGUCGGGAAUAUUGGACAAUGGGCGCAAGCCUGAUCCAGCAAUACCGCGUGUGUGAAGAAGGCCUGCGGGUUGUAAAGCACUUUCAGUUGGGAAGAUAAUGACGUUACCAACAGAAGAAGCACCGGCUAACUCCGUG